rnacentral:rRNA from 1 species
UGGGGAAUAUUGCGCAAUGGGCGAAAGCCUGACGCAGCGACGCCGCGUGAGGGAUGAAGGUUUUCGGAUCGUAAACCUCUGUCAGAAGGGAAGAAACCGCACUGUGCUAAUCAGCAGUGCCUUGACGGUACCUUCAAAGGAAGCACCGGCUAACUCCGUGCCAGCAGCCGCGGUAAUACGGAGGGUGCAAGCGUUAAUCGGAAUUACUGGGCGUAAAGCGCACGUAGGCUGCUUUGUAAGUCAGGGGUGAAAUCCCACGGCUCAACCGUGGAACUGCCUUUGAUACUGCUUAGCUUGAAGCCGGGAGAGAGUGGCGCAAUUCCAGGUGUAGGAGUGAAAUCCGAAGAUAUCUGGAGGAACAUCAGUGGCGAAGGCGGCCACCUGGACCGGUAUUGACGCUGAGGUGCGAAAGCGUGGGGAGCAAACAGG